UACGAAGGGUGCAAGCGUUACUCGGAAUUACUGGGCGUAAAGCGUGCGUAGGUGGUUUGUUAAGUCUGUUGUGAAAGCCCCGGGCUCAACCUGGGAAUGGCAAUGGAUACUGGCAAGCUAGAGUGCGGUAGAGGGUAGUGGAAUUCCCGGUGUAGCGGUGAAAUGCGUAGAUAUCGCUUGGAACGCCGAAGGUGAAAACAGGCUGCUGGGGUUGUGCCGACGCUGAGACACGAAAGCCAGGGGAGCAAACGGG
rnacentral:rRNA from 1 species